rnacentral:rRNA from 1 species
GAUGAACGCUGACAGAAUGCUUAACACAUGCAAGUCUACUUGAACUUCGGUUUGGGUGGCGGACGGGUGAGUAACGCGUAAAGAACUUGCCUCACAGUUAGGGACAACAUUUGGAAACGAAUGCUAAUACCUGAUAUUAUGAUUUUAGGGCAUCCUAGGAUUAUGAAAGCUAUAUGUGCUGUGAGAGAGCUUUGCGUCCCAUUAGCUAGUUGGAGGGGUAACGGCUCACCAAGGCGAUGAUGGGUAGCCGGCCUGAGAGGGUGAACGGCCACAAGGGGACUGAGACACGGCCCUUACUCCUACGGGAGGCAGCAGUGGGGAAUAUUGGACAAUGGACCAAAAGUCUGAUCCAGCAAUUCUGUGUGCACGGUGACGUUUUUCGGAAUGUAAAGUGCUUUCAGUUGGGAAGAAAAAAAUGACGGUACCAACAGAAGAAGAGACGGCUAAAUACGUG